ACCACGUGAGACGCUGAGCAAGCGGAUCGCACGGCAAGAGACUCGCCCGCGCACGGCCAAAAGCCAUCCUGCAUCUUCACGGUUUUAUCCAACCGUCUCCUGGAAAACCGCAGCCUCCCAAGGAAGUCAAGUCGUCGCUUGCUCCUCCUCAACGCUGCCAUGCGCCGCCACCGUGACCCAGCCGUGAACCCGUAGCCUUCGAUAGCCAUCCCGCAGCCUCUGUUUUUCACUCCCGAAAUAGAGGAUGGUUCUCCUCCUACCGUGAGCCAUUGCAACCUUUAACCACCGUGAGCUUCUUCACGUUGCGGCUCCAGAAACCGCCGGCGAAGUUUUCCGUCACCCCAUUGCAUAGCCACCGAGUGCACUACCUCCUGUCGCACUUCACCAUCUCGGUGACGAUUAAUAUUUAUUCGGUAUUUUUUAGGAAAGUUCUGAAAAUCUAAGAAGUCCAGGUAAGCGAGGUUCCUAUACUAGACUUUGCAUUAAAAUAAAAUGAACUAAGGUCCUUCUUGGAAAAUGUGCAUGUUUGGUUAUGAAAAGAAAUCUGAAAACAACCUCAGAUAUUU